GCGGAAGCGCCGAGUCUCCAUGGCGGCGGCGGCGGCGGCGGCCGCGGGGCCGGUGCUCUGGAGGCGGCUGCUGGGCCUGCUGCCUGGCCGCCCGGGGCUGGCCGCGCUGCUAGGGCGCCUGUCCGACCGCCUGGGCAGGAACCGGGACCGCCGGCGCAGGAGGUCACCAUGGCUGCUGUUGGCUCCUUUGCUGUCCCCGACUGUCCCCCAGAUCACCUCCCCUCCUUGUUGCCUGUGUCCAGAGGGUGUGCACAGGUUCCAGUGGAUCCGAAACCUGGUCCCAGAGUUCGGGGUCUCCAGCUCCCACGUCAGGGUGCUUUCUUCCCCGGCAGAGUUUUUUGAGCUCAUGAAGGGCCAGAUCAAGGUGGCCAAGAGACGCGUGGUGAUGGCGUCGCUCUACCUGGGGACGGGUCCUUUGGAACAGGAGCUGGUGGAUUGCCUGGAAAGCACUCUGGAAAAGUCACUCCAAGCCAAGUUCCCUUCAGACCUCAAGGUGUCCAUCCUCUUGGACUUCACACGGGGCUCAAGAGGUAGGAAGAACUCCCGCACAAUGCUGCUCCCGCUGUUACAGAGGUUUCCAGAACAGGUUCGCGUCUCUCUCUUCCAUACCCCUAACCUCCGUGGGCUUCUCCGGCUCCUGAUCCCUGAGCGCUUUAAUGAGACGAUCGGCCUGCAGCACAUUAAAGUGUACCUCUUUGACAACAAUGUCAUCUUGAGCGGCGCGAACCUGAGCGACUCCUACUUCACCAACCGCCAGGACCGCUACGUGUUCUUGCAGGACUGCCCCGAGAUUGCGGACUUCUUCACGGAGCUGGUGGACGCAGUGGGGGACGUGUCCCUGCAGUUGCAGGGGGAUGACACGGUGCAGGUGGUGGAGGGGAUGGUGCACCCUUACAAAGGUGACCGGGCUGCAUACUGCAGGGCGGCCAACAAGAGGGUGAUGGAUGUGAUCAACUCGGCCAGGGCCCGCCAGCAAGUGUUGCACGCCCAGACCUUCCAUGGCGACUCCCUCUUGACUCAGGAGGACGCAGCAGCUGCCGGGGACCGGAGGCCAGCCCCUGAUACCUGGAUUUACCCAUUGAUCCAGAUGAAGCCUUUUGAGAUCCAGAUUGACGAGAUCGUCACGGAGACCCUGUUGACAGAGGCUGAGCGAGGAGCCAAGGUCUAUCUCACCACUGGCUACUUCAACCUGACCCAGGCCUACAUGGACCUGGUCUUGGGCACGCGGGCCGAGUACCAGAUCUUGCUGGCCUCCCCGGAGGUGAACGGCUUCUUCGGAGCCAAGGGGGUGGCGGGGGCCAUCCCGGCCGCGUACGUGCACAUCGAGCGACAGUUCUUCAGUGAGGUGUGCAGCCUGGGGCAGCAGGAGCGGGUCCAGCUGCAGGAGUACUGGCGGAGGGGCUGGACGUUCCAUGCCAAAGGCCUCUGGCUGUACCUGGCAGGGAGCAGCCUGCCCUGUCUCACGUUGAUUGGCUCUCCUAAUUUUGGGUACAGGUCGGUUCACCGGGACCUGGAGGCCCAGAUCGCCAUAGUGACGGAGAGCCGGGCCCUGCAGCAGCAACUUCACCAGGAGCAGGAGCAGCUCUACUUGCGCUCAGGUGUGGUGUCAUCUGCCACCUUUGAGCAGCCGAGUCGGCAGGUGAAGCUGUGGGUGAAGAUGGUGACUCCGCUGAUUAAGAACUUCUUCUGAGGAUGACAGGAAUGGCCUUGAUGAAGAUGACGGGCAUGGCUGGCGUCAGUUCCUUCAGCCUGGCUUCAGCGAUGACUCCAGUCUGGGUGUCCCAGCGAGCGCCUGCAGGACAGCACGGCGAGCCCCAGGCUCAGCUCCUUCAGCGAGCGGCGCAUCUCAUUGGUGAGGAUGUUCAUUCUUUCACAUUCCUGGAAGGCGACCACCACGUAGGGGGUCUUCUCAGCCACCUUCGCCAUGAUCUCGGCCAUGUUGAACAUCUCCGGGAUCUUCUCCAGGAUCUCCUCCAGCACGGCCUUCACCUGGAAGUCAGUCCCCGACAAGCCCCGUCACCGCAUGUGCCUGCCAGCCCACCCCCAGCGUCAAGGGUCGGGGAGACUGUGUCGGACGUUCACAGCGAGGGCUCCUGGAGCAAAGGGAAGUGGAGUUGCCUGAGAACCAGGGUCCCGGAGGUGCAGCUGCACGUCUGACAAGAGGAGGAGAUCUUGGCCAACAGGCUUUGAAUAUGCUGGUCAUCAAAGCCAUGGGACUGUAGCCGUGGGAGCUGCAGACAUUCCCAAAUGAACAGCUUCCUCCCCCAUCAGACCAGCUGGUACCCAUAGGACUGUGACCUACGAGUCCCCGUGGGGGCUUCUGUGGGGGCCAUGCUGAUCACACCCUCUCCAGGAGUGGCCCCCACGGCUUGUCUACACCACUGCCGUCAGAAGUCUCAUUCCAGUUGUUAGACCAAGAAAGGGCCGUGAGGCCUCACAGCACUGAGGGUCUUCUGGUCCACAAUCUGGUCUAUUACCAGUAAGCCCAAUCUUCAGCUGGCUGUUAACAGACCUUGUCCAGAAUUUACUGAACAGUGUAAAGGUGUUAAUUGCUCACUAGACGGCAGAGGUAACCCAGGCAACUGAGAACAGGUUAAAAGCUCUUAAUGCUGAAGGUUUUUUUGCUUCUUUCCAGUAUUAAAUGGGAUGAGCCCCCCGGGGGUCUUCUAAGCUCACGGGGAGGGGCUGUUCUGAUGCCUCUGGGCUGCUGGGUAGGAGCCCCCCCCCCCCCUUGCUGCUUACACACCAGCUGGGCCAAGUUAGAGGCUGCAGGGAGGGAGGAUUGGGGGUGGGGGAACGGCCCCUGGGCAGCACCCCUGGGCCUGUUAGCCAGCUCACGCUCCACCCCGGUUUCUGGGGGUGCACUUUUCGACCCCAGGUUCCAGGCCCUGCCCUUUGGCCCUGGGCUGUGUGUUAAGUCUCCUGCCUUCUCCUCACGAGAUACUCCAGUGCCUGCUCCUGAGUUGGUCUCUUUGGGCUGCAUUUCCAGGACGGUGCGGAACAGUUUCUCUGACGUGACUGUCAAGAAGCCAAUCUCUGCAUUGGGGUGCAGGCCAUACAGAUACUCCGUUUGCAACGCCAGGCUGGCCCCAGAGCUGGCCGGGCCAGCAUCACCCUUGGCUGCUGUCACAUCACGGGGCGAGCUCGUGUCCCCGAGAGAGAGCCCCCCGCUCACCUUGUAAUCCAGGUUGGGGGGGAUCUGAAAGCCCGGCGCCAGCAGGAUCUCGCCCUCUAGCAUCUCUGCCCGCACGUACUCCGCCAGGUACGUCCUGCACAGCCGCCGGUCCCAGUCAUCCGUGACGUGGCCGCCGUACAUGAUUUCUCCAAACAGGUAGCGGAGGUCGUCCCAGGGCACCUUAGGAAGGACGGAAGUGGUUAGAAGUGCCCCCGCCCCUUCGGGGUCUGACUCGGCCGUCAGCCCCUCUUUGGCCAUCUCCUGCCUUUGGCUCCUUUGGCGAGGACUGCCUGGCUGUUCCCUCCACCUGAGGCCUGGCCCCUGCCCUGACUGUGACUGCCGGCUGUGUGCUGGGACCUCCAGCUCCACAGGCCCACCCUGCAGCCGCCAUUCGCUCCCUCUCGUGGGCCUCCCGUGUCACCCCCGCUCGGAGACACGCAGCCACCCGUGACUCUGUGCGCUGGCCGCCUGACCGGAGUGGUUUCACUCUGCGGUGACUGGGGGUGUCCACUCUUGGGUGCCAUUUCUUUUGGCCACAGAGUCCUGUCAGUCACACCUUUAUGACGUCUCCGUCCGGUGGCCUGCCUCGCAGUCCCGCUGAGCUUGCCUGGCUCCGAGUUCCCGGUGGCUCCCUGUAGCUGCGCACCCCGCAGGGCUGCGUAGACGGGUAGCACAGCGCCCAGAGCGUGGCUGCCUGACCUCGCAGGCAGCGCGGGCCGCCGCUCCCCGCCACCACCUUGUGAAGCCUGCUCACGUGCUGCCUCCUCCGAGAAGCCGGGGGUUGGGCUCGGCUGCCCGGUCCCCGCACGGUGCCGUCCAACCGGAGCGGCGCGGGGGCCGCAGACAGCAGUCACGUAUGCAAUUCCAAGUUUGCGAGCAGCCGUGUAAGUAAGAAGAUUGUUACAGCAGAUGGUCGGCACAAAAACAACGAAUCGAUACGUUAUUUUACACUCUCACCUGCACCACGCUUUUGCCAUCCGGUGUGGGUCUCACGCAGUUUGGACGCCACGUGCCCGCGGUUCAUCCCGCCACUGCCCCGGGCAGCGCAGGCGGGCGGCCUCCUGACACAGUUUAUCGAGUAAAGAACUCGUGCACUCAUCAGAUGCCUGAUUCAGUCUCGUGAAUUUCACUCAAAAUGUUAAUAUUCUCUUAAGUGUCAUUUUGUGACUUAAA